UACGAAGGGAGCUAGCGUUGUUCGGAAUCACUGGGCGUAAAGCGCACGUAGGCGGAUGUGUCAGUCAGGGGUGAAAUCCCGGAGCUCAACUUCGGAACUGCCUUUGAUACAGCACGUCUUGAGUCCGAUAGAGGUGGGUGGAAUUCCUAGUGUAGAGGUGAAAUUCGUAGAUAUUAGGAAGAACACCGGUGGCGAAGGCGGCCCACUGGAUCGGUACUGACGCUGAGGUGCGAAAGCGUGGGGAGCAAACAG
rnacentral:rRNA from 1 species